rnacentral:lncRNA from 1 species
AGACAAGUGAGCACAGUGGGAAAGUGGCUUGCUUCUGCUAUGGCUCCCUGGCACUUGCUGACUGGAUGCUUGAAGCUGGAUGACAGGCAGCUCUGGAGAAGAAACCUUCAUGUCAUCUGUCGGGUACUCGACCGGAAAUAAAC